ACUCAAAGGAAUAGACGGGGACCCGCACAAGCGGUGGAUGAUGUGGUUUAAUUCGAUGCAACGCGAAAAACCUUACCUACCCUUGACAUGCCAGGAACUUGCCAGAGAUGGCUUGGUGCCCGAAAGGGAGCCUGGACACAGGUGCUGCAUGGCCGUCGUCAGCUCGUGUCGUGAGAUGUUGGGUUAAGUCCCGCAACGAGCGCAACCCUUAUCGAUAGUUGCUACGCAAGGGCACUCUAUCGAGACUGCCGGUGACAAACCGGAGGAAGGUGGGGAUGACGUCAGGUCAUCAUGGCCCUUAUGGGUAGGGCUACACACGUCAUACAAUGGCCGGGACAGAGGGUUGCCAACCCGCGAGGGGGAGCCAAUCUCAGAAACCCGGUCGUAGUCCGGAUCGCAGUCUGCAACUCGACUGCGUGAAGUCGGAAUCGCUAGUAAUCGCGGAUCAGCUUGCCGCGGUGAAUACGUUCCCGGGUCUUGCACACACCGCCCGU
rnacentral:rRNA from 1 species